rnacentral:misc_RNA from 1 species
AGGAACGAAAAGAUUGAUAUAUUCAGCAUUAGUAAUUGUGUAAAAAGGAAUAGAAGUUUAUCUUAUCAAUAGAGACAGGCUGUAGCUCUGCCCAAAGCCAGAGUUCUACAUGGGACAGAGGUGAGAAGCAUUAAGGCUACUAAGUGAAAGGAAGUUGAUAGCAAGUGGCUUCAGCCGAGAAAUACUGAUUGCUUAAAGUUACAUAUAGCAAGAAGUUGUAGUGUAGAAAAAAAGAUACUUGAUG